UUAUUUCAACCCUCUCUUUGACUGGUAUGAUUCUUGUGUUAGGGGGUUAGAAUGUGGAGGAAUGAAUAAUAAUGGACCACCGGAGACACAGUUUUUUUCUGCCUUAAAAAUUAAAUCAAUGGAAUUCUUCCAUGCAGUGUCUAAAGAUGCCAGGGGGUGUCGGCAAAGAUCGAUAGCAACAUCCAUAUGGACUUUUAAACAAGUUAAUUCACAUUGAUUUAUUGAUAUAUUGGAUUUUUAAUUAUACGUUUUUCUUUCGAAGGGUUCUUCUAAAAUAAAUCUCGUGUGAGGAAUGACUUGAUCGCACCAGAAGGGAUUUUUAGACAGGGAUGGCUGGUAGGUCCAACUUUGUCUUCCAAACUUCCAAACUGUUGUUUUACUGUCUUGAACAUGUGUAUGGUUAUUAGGAAACCUUGUUACAAUUUACAUGUCCUCUGCUUGUUAGAUUUACAUACCUUCUGCUUCUUCGAUUUACGUGUCGUCUUUCUUGAUUUACAUGUCGUCUGCAUCUUUGAUAGACACGUUGUAGUCUGCUUCUUCUUUGCAGACGGACUGAGUGUGAGGACGGUGGUAGAACGUCUGCUUCAGCGGGACAUCCCGGACCAGAUCGGGGAAACCUCGGGGGUGCAGUUUGAACUGACAGGGUAAUUAUAAGUGCAUCAUAAGUAUGAAUCAUCAUAACAUCAUUGAUCUUCUGGGUACUAGUAUGUCGUUCAUUAUGAAAUAUUUUUUUCUCUUUCUUUUCUUAUAAAAAUUGUGGCCCAUGAUUGAAGAACCUUUAUGCUUCAAAUAAGCUUUUGAUUUUCUUUCUUUCUUUUUUUUACAUAAUUAUAAAGAUUUUUUUCAAUGAUUUGCAAUUAAUUUGACAUCAUAUUGCCAUAACUGUUUUGUGUCACCAGAAUGCGUACAACAAACCUUCAUCUCCCCUCCGCCGCCAUGAAAAAUGACGUCAUCACCACCAAAGGCGGUGGCGUCAGCAUGGUGGGCAAAUACCGCUUCACAUACGGCAGAUUGUGAGUUGUAAAAUCAGUUGCAUGCUUCCCCUGUAUUGAUAUUCUUACUGCUUGAAUUGUACAAACACGUCUGUUAUAAAGUUAAUAGUUCGCCAGUAUAAGGGCUGAAUUAUUAUAUGAUCUUGUAUGUUCGUCGUAGACUAUCAGGCGAUGGAGAUUUUGACGUCAUUGUUUCUGGUCUCUCCCUAGUCAUCAGUCCUCCAAUACGCCACCGAAAUCAAAACGCACGCCACCCCCGAGUAACCCACGUUAAUUCGCAUGGCGACCAACGAAACCCCAACAACGCCGACCGUGAUACCUUAAUGAGGCUUGUCCACCAUGGUCACGUGGAAUGUACGGCUAGGAGUGUCAAGAUCAAGUUCCGGGGGAAGUCGGCCCGGCUUUGUGGCUUUCUGACCAAAGUCUUCUCUCGGUGGAUCAUCUCACAACUCCAAAUCAGCGUAUGUAACUUAACAAUUGCCAUUUGAUGGUUCAAUAGUUGUUUUCAUCCAUGCCGCCUCACAUGUAGGAUAUUUUUUUAAAGCAUUUCCCGAGUUUAUAUAGGGAUAGGAAGCUUAUAAGGAUGGUUCUAAUGUUUGGCAAACAAAUGUCCCAAAGGCUUAAUCAUGAUGUUUAGAACUCUUACACCAACCUUCUCUUUUUAGACAGCUGAAUUCGUAAAAAGUUGGUUCCGAGAAGAACCAGACAUGUCUUCUAUUGCCCUUAUGGCGCUCUUCGCAAUGAACGACGACAAUGCAGUGGGUAAGUGACUAAUCGAACACUGCUUGAAUAUAAGGCUUUUUUUAUUUAUAAGUAACAUGGUCAUGCAUGUAUGUUUUAAAUUUUGUUUCAGAGGAAGAAGAGUUACAAAGUCAGUGCUGGAGAUUCCGUAGAAGAAGAAGAGCGUUACAACAUUAAUUUGAAAUUAUUUUGUGACUCUGUUUUGCAUAAGCUUUACAUUUUUUUUAUUAUCAUUUAUAUUUAUAUCAUUUUUAUUGCGAGAUGUUUGUUACUAGUUGAUAUUUUCUCAACAUAAAUAUAUAACUAAAUAAACUUUUACAACAAUUUG
rnacentral:misc_RNA from 1 species